AAAUUGAAUUUAUUUAAACUGGUGUGAACAUAGCUCUGGGUGAUCAAUGCACUUCGAUGAUUGAGAGCACCAGAUGGCGCAGUAGUACCCGUGAUGUUGUUACAUGUUGUAUGGGCGUGUGUAAAAAAAUAAGUGUUUUGUGAUGUUUUAAUCAAUACCGGAGCAAGAAAACGAUACAACUGCAAUGUGAUAAUAGACACCCGCCUAACGAGUGCCUUAACAGACAGUGCCUAGUUUAGUAGAACGAACGAGAAAUAACGACAAACGAACAUAAUUUAUAUUUUGAUACCAAUUGAACAGAACACAUCGCAAGCACAGACGGGUGCGUGACGCAGCAUCAGGGAGCGGGUCGAACUCGCGCUCCAAGACAACUGGAGGCGGCUGACAGCCCGCGGAACUGCAACACUCGACAGAAGAUCACGUCGCUCCUUCAGUCAAGAGCGGCCGCGCAGGAGGACCAGCGCCCACUCCCUCGACCUACCCGCCGAGGAGAGACCCCACCACACCGCCAC